rnacentral:lncRNA from 1 species
ACAGAUUAAUGCUUCCAACCAGAGACACAUAAUUGUUGCAUUGAAAUGGAAGUUAAGACUGCUACCUGGUCACUUUGGUCUCUUGAAUCAACAAAGAAAACCCUUAUUGUGCUUGCUGGGAGGAUUGAUCCUACCUACCCAGGAGAAAUUUGACUACUUCCUCAUUAUGGAGAUUUAAAGUCAGACCGAAACUCAUACCAUCAGCUUUCCUGGUUCUCAGCCCUUUGGACUCAGGCUGGAAUGAUACCAUUGCCUCUUCUCAGUCUUCAGCCUGUUUACUGCAGAUUUGGGAUUUCCCAGCUUCUAUAAAUGGCCUAUAUCCUCUGCAUGAAACAGGAAGCAAGCCAAAGGAAUAA